rnacentral:rRNA from 1 species
UACAGAGGUCUCAAGCGUUGUUCGGAUUCAUUGGGCGUAAAGGGUGCGUAGGCGGCGCGGUAAGUCGGGUGUGAAAUCUCGGAGCUUAACUCCGAAACUGCAUUCGAUACUGCCGUGCUUGAGGACUGGAGAGGAGACUGGAAUUUACGGUGUAGCGGUGAAAUGCGUAGAUAUCGUAAGGAAGACCAGUGGCGAAGGCGACUACCUGGCCUGUUUCGUUGACGCUGGAGGCGCGAAAGCUAGGGGAGCAAACGGG